rnacentral:rRNA from 1 species
CCUACGGGAGGCAGCAGUGAGGAAUAUUGGUCAAUGGACGAGAGUCUGAACCAGCCACGUCGCGUGAAGGAUGACUGCUCUAUGGGUUGUAACCUUCUUUUUUAUGGGAGUAAAAUGUUCCACGUGUGGGAUUUUGUAUGUACCAUAUGAAUCCGGAUCGGCUAACUCCGUGCCAGCAGCCGGGGUAAUACGGAGGGUCCGAGCGUUAUCCGGAUUUAUUGGGAUUAAAGGGAGCGUAGGUGGAUUGUUAAGUCAGUUGUGAAAGUUUGCGGCUCAACCGUAAAAGUGCAGUUGAAACUGGCAGUCUAGAGUACAGUAGAGGUGGGCGGAAUUCGUGGUGUAGCGGUGAAAUGCGUAGAUAUCACGAAGAACUCUGAUUGCGAAGGCAGUUCACUGGACUGCAACUGACACUGAGGCACGAAAGUGUGGGUAUCAAACAGGAUUAGAUACCCCAGUAGUC